UCCACCUUUUUAAUACAGUCCUGAGAGGCUGUAAAGGGGGAAUGAGGAUGGCGGGGUUUCCUGCUGUCGUUAUCCAUGCCCUCUUUGCGCCUGCGCAAUGAGGGUUUUUUAU
rfam:Bacillus sp. SA2-6 scf7180000001080, whole genome shotgun sequence.